rnacentral:tRNA from 3 species
ACGACUGUAGCUCAGCUGGUUAGAGCACUACCUUGACAUGGUAGGGGUCGGUGGUUCGAAUCCACUCAGUCGUACCA